rnacentral:lncRNA from 1 species
AAGGAACAAAGCAAAAACUAAAAGAGUUCUAGAAGACGAGUAGUUUUUGCGAGUUAAGAACUAAAUUGGGCUUUACGUAUUUUGUUAAAUGGGCCUAAUUUGUAAGAUUGCGUUUCGGCCCAAAUUUUAUCGGUUUGUGUCGGUCUGUGUCGCAAUUUACGUUUAGGCAAAAUCAAGUUUUCCAUUUCCACAAGUAAAAGAAAUCAAACAACUGUGAGAUUAAGUGAUUAACAUCAAAAUCAGGGUUUUUGUAAUGGACAAAUCUUCCUUUGGACAAAAACAUCAGAUCAAAUCCGGAUGGAAACCGACAAAAUCCUUCCGGCGAACUUUGUUGUACUUCAAUCUCGGUCUUGCUGGUUAGUCUAAAACUUUUUUUAUUACAAUGCGCUUAUGGUGUUUGAUGAAAUGCCCAGCUGAGAAAUUUGUAUCAAGAAACGAGACUAUUUCGUCUAGCAAUCUUCAUAUAGUGUAUAUAAAGUGGCUUUUUCUAUAUCACUAAUAUAAAGUUUGAUUUAUGCUCCAAGAGAGUCUUUGAUUCGACAUAUUCAUUGUUGAUGUUCUUGGCGAUAUGAAAAGACGAGAUUGAACUAAUUGUAAACAGAUGCAGGAUACUCUAAUUCAAGAUUUGCUAAAAUUUUUGUAUUCUUUUUGUUUAUAGGUAGCUUGUAUAUAUACAGAUACUACAUAAGAAAGGAAAAUAGUGUCAGUGAAGGAAGAAGCCAAACUGAUGCUUGAACUGGUUCGGUUGCUGUCGGAGAAUAUGGAUUAAUGCUAUUUUUACUACUUGGAUUGGUGAC